rnacentral:rRNA from 1 species
GGGCUGCAGUGGGGAAUUUUGGACAAUGGGCGCAAGCCUGAUCCAGCCAUUCCGCGUGAGUGAAGAAGGCCUUCGGGUUGUAAAGCUCUUUCGCAAGGGAAGAAAACUUAUCCUCUAACAUAGGAUGAGGUUGACGGUACCUUGAUAAGAAGCACCGGCUAACUACGUGCCAGCAGCCGCGGUAAUACGUAGGGUGCGAGCGUUAAUCGGAAUUACUGGGCGUAAAGCGUGCGCAGGCUGUUUUGUAAGUCAGAUGUGAAAUCCCCGAGCUCAACUUGGGAACUGCGUUUGAAACUACAAGACUAGAAUAGGUCAGAGGGGGGUAGAAUUCCACGUGUAGCAGUGAAAUGCGUAGAGAUGUGGAGGAAUAUCAAUGGCGAAGGCAGCCCCCUGGGAUCAUAUUGACGCUCAUGCACGAAAGCGUGGGGAGCAAACAGGAUUAGAUACCCCUGUAGUC